ACUUUCGGCGCCGUGGCGGAAUGGCGGCUUCCAUCUCUGAGGCGAGCGACGCUAUGGAUCCCACAGUGGUUUGCUAAGAAGGCCAUUUUCAACUCUCCACUGGAGGCUGCUAUGGCGUUCCCUCACCUGCAGCAGCCCAGCUUUCUACUGGACACCAGCCAUACCCUUUGCUUCCUAUGGCCUCCACCACACUAGCCUCCUAAAGCGACACAUCUCUCAUCAGACGUCUGUGAAUGCAGACCCCGCCUCCCACGAGAUCUGGAGGUCAGAAACUCUGCUCCAGGUUUUUGUUGAAAUGUGGCUUCAUCACUAUUCCUUGGAGAUGUAUCAAAAAAUGCAGUCCCCUCAUGCCAAGGGCUGCUGUCCCGAGGUUCGUCCAGCAGAAACUCUACCUCUUCUUGCAGCAUUGCUUUGGCCACUGGCCCCUGGACGCAUCGUUCAGAGCUGUCCUGGAGAUGUGGCUGAGCUACCUGCAGCCGUGGCGGUACGCGCCUGACAAGCAGGCUCCGGGCAGCGACUCCCAGCCCCGGUGUGUGUCGGAGAAAUGGUGAGCCU
rnacentral:lncRNA from 1 species